rnacentral:misc_RNA from 1 species
CGUCAUUAUCACCUCUCAAGCCUGGCUUGGUAUUGGACUUCAUCGUUAAAGAUGGGCCCGAAAGAUAAUGGCGGUGUCGUGAUCGACCCUCGGUGCAACGAGCUUUUACAGCACGUAUCGCAGUGGUUGGCCGGCCCGGUCUUGAUUAUAAUUUUUCUAAGAUUGACCUCGGAUCAGGUAGGAAUACCCGCUGAACUUAA